rnacentral:rRNA from 1 species
CCUACGGGGGGCAACAGUGAGGAAUAUUGGUCAAUGGACGAGAGUCUGAACCAGCCAAGUAGCGUGAAGGAUGACUGCCCUAUGGGUUGUAAACUUCUUUUAUAUGGGAAUAAAACGUUCCACGUGUGGGAUUUUGUAUGUACCAUAUGAAUAAGGAUCGGCUAACUCCGUGCCAGCAGCCGCGGUAAUACGGAGGAUCCGAGCGUUAUCCGGAUUUAUUGGGUUUAAAGGGAGCGUAGGUGGAUUGUUAAGUCAGUUGUGAAAGUUUGCGGCUCAACCGUAAAAUUGCAGUUGAAACUGGCAGUCUUGAGUACAGUAGAGGUGGGCGGAAUUCGUGGUGUAGCGGUGAAAUGCUUAGAUAUCACGAAGAACUCCGAUUGCGAAGGCAGUUCACUGGACUGCAACUGACACUGAGGCUCGAAAGUGUGGGUAUCAAACAGGAUUAGAUACCCCAGUAGUC